GGGGGGCUACUGGGAACUAGGCUCUGGACACCUGAAAAGGUGCUUAUUUAGAGGUAAAAUGGACCCCAGCUCAGCUCAAUAAAAUUAUAGUGACAACACUAGACAUAUGCAAAGGUCACUGGCUCCUCCCCUUUUGUGACCUUAUAAAAGUACUUUCUCCUAAGAACUUUCCUGUUCUCCAAAACCGAAGCUUUCCUAUGAUAUUACUAAGUAAAAGAUUAUGCCUGAAUGCAUGUUCCUCCAACAAUCCUAGUCAAUGGGACUUCGCAAUAAACUAAAUCAAAUCCCUACCUGUGCAACUUGAUACUUUAGUUGAGGGCCAGAAUAG